rnacentral:lncRNA from 1 species
UUUUCAUUUCAUCUGGGAAAAGCCAUCUUUUUCUCAACAAUGUCUUUGUCAUUUGAUCAAAUAGUGUUCCGUUAGAUAGGAACAAAUUUGACAAAUACUGAUAACUCUCGGAUAGAAUAUUAGAACGGAAAGAUCCAUUAGAUAAUGAACUAUUGGUUCUAAGCCAUCUCUGACAAUUAAUCUACAAUUCGAAGUGCUUUUCUUGUGUAUUCUCGAUAAACCAGCAUUUAUAUAUAGAUGUAGGAAGAUCUGUUUGGGAAGUAAGAAGCCCCUUUGACAUCUCUUCAUCUGCAAAUAAUUCUCGAUGUGAAAACACAGAGCCAGGGGGUUGAUCUUUAAAUAGGAAAAAGAGUGGAUCUGCAGGGUCCCAAAUGAAUUGGCUUAUUCGAAAAAGGCCUUGUUCUUUGGAAGAUCUAUCUCACGUCUGAUACUGCAUGGUUCUACUCUGCAAGAACUCCAAAUCAUUCUCUUGAAGCUCAUCCUCUUCAUCAUAAAUGAUCCACUUGCCCCGAGCUUUCGUCUCUCAGUGUCAGUGUCGGCCCAGUAGAGUGCUUUCAUCGUUGGUGUUCUUUCUGAUCUCUAUGCAUUUCGCCGCUCCACUGAAAAUUUCCUCUGCCCCUACCGUACUCCAGCUUGGUAGUUUUCAGCCCCUAUCCAGGGUUGAGCCCUGGGAUUUGAUGACGAACUUAAAAAGCCAACUACAGAUGCUUUAUGCCCAAUCAUUUCGGAUAACGCUUGCAUCCUCUGUCUUAUCGCGACUGCUGGCAUAGAGUUAGCCGAUGCUUAUUCCCCAGAUACCGUCAUUGCUUCUUCUUUGGGAAAAGAAGUUCACGACCCGUGGGCCUUCUACCUCUACGUGGCAUUGUUCCGUCAGGCUUUCACCCAUAUUUUGAUUGUUAAUACGAUAUAUAAGGACCGCUACUACAAAGAGUGUUACACCCUUGAUCCUGAAAUAUCGAUUGCUUGUUGACCCCUGUGAAUUGCGUGAAAGUAGGAUACUCCGAAUUCGGGGGUCAAAGAAAG